UCCAUAAUCUCGGGUCGGGUGUGUUGUUGAUUUCCUUCGCAUCCACCCGACCAGCAGGAGCAGCUGACGACGACGAUGAUGGGGGGUGCGAUGGGAACCUAACGUGAGGGGGCGGGAAGUUUCCUGCUGCCUGCCCAAGCACACACAAUCCUUGGCCGUGUGCUUGGGAGCUUGGCGCUUGGUGCUGCCGACUGCCGAGCUCAAGGAUUUAGUACAACUUUAACUUCGGUCGCGUCGUGUCACGGAAUUCUUUCGCGCGUUGGAGGACCUCUCGGUGUGUUCGUCGGGCCCGUUUUUGAACGUUUUGUGGGAAAUUGCGGAAAAUUGUUCCACACACACGGAGUGGUGCGAGUACGAUCGUACACGCGUGAGUUUAUCGCGCGUAGAUACGGAGGUAGCUUGGGAGCACCCAAGCUGCGAAAAAAUCAUUCGGUGUGUGAUUUAGCCUUGGGGCUGUGGGGGGCUGAGUUGUUUUGAGUUGGUGUGGUUGAGGGUGGUUUUGAGAAGGGGGAGCCCUAAUCGAGUUCUCGUUAGCGAUACAUACCUUUUUGACGAGUUAAGGAACUGCCUUUCGGAGUGGAGGUGAUGUUUUGCGGCGAACAACAUGGGCAGGAGUGAUUGCUGUUGGUACCUUCGACGCGUAUGAAUUUAAUGAAUAAGGGAUAUUUGGUUGGCUUCCGGCGUUGGGUCACAGUGUGAAUUGUUGCGUAGCUGCUGUUUCUUGAAGAGUUUGUGUACAAGUUGUUGAGCCUCUGGCUCCAGGAAGAAAAAAGAAGAGGAGUAAACCGGUGUUCGACGGGUUGUUUGUUGCCGAAAAAAAAAGGGUGUGAAAGUUUCACAGACCAAAAGUACAAAGAAGCGCACCGGAACGGAACGAAUCCCACGUUUUUAGGAUGAUGUGUGACGGCAGUUUACCGGCAGUUUCCUGUUGCUGAUAGCGCUGAAAAGAUAAGAGGCGGCGCGGCGUGGUUCCGGCGUGGCCAACCGAAUCUGAUCCACGGAAUUCGUGCGAGUUCUAAAUCAAUCAGCGGGUUGCUACCACUAAUUUGAAUAAACGUAGGUACGCAAUACAAACUGAGAAAGUGCGGUUGUUCUCUACUACGGAGUGAUAUCGUGCAAAUUGUGUUCUAUGUGUACAGGGGGGGGGUAAACAUUUGUCCAGUGAUUUAUAUCGUAAUAUCUACAAUGGCUAGCUGUUGCGACUACGGCACAGUUUAUAGUUCCCGUAUGGUGUAGAACUAAGAGUUGGC